rnacentral:rRNA from 1 species
UACGUAGGACCAAGCGUUGUUCGGAUUUACUGGGCGUAAAGGGCGCGUAGGCGGCGCGGUAAGUCACUUGUGAAAUCUCUGAGCUUAACUCAGAACGGCCAAGUGAUACUGCAGUGCUAGAGUGUGGAAGGGGCAAUCGGAAUUCUUGGUGGUAGCGGUGAAAUGCGCAGAUAUCAGGAGGAACACCGGUGGCGAAGGCGGAUCUCUGGGCCUUACCUGACGCUGAAGAGCGAAAGUGUGGGGAGCGAACAGGAU